UUCAAGUUUCUCUCUCCAGACUCUCACGAGGGGGGACAAUCAUGGAUGGCUCAGAGUCUCAGCUCCCGGACGAGACAAAUCGGAGCCAACGAUUGCAGUUCUAAGCACGACGAUUCAUGGGUCUGAGGGGUUUCGAUAUAAACAAGCAACGUAAAUCAACCGGAUAAUACUGAUUAGGUCAAGAAAAUGUUCUUAUUAGCUUUUCAAUGCUAAGGGUGUUACUUUUCUUUAUUUACUCUGUUUCCUACAAAACCACUUGCAGAACAAUCUCUCCUCAACUGCAAUCUAUGAAGAAACUGAAGCAUAAGAGGCUAAUUUUUUUUGCAUUUGAGGUUCGUUGUCCAUCGAUUUAUGUCAAUUAACUAUGAACUCCAACAAUGGUGUCUGUCACGUGGGAGCAUGGAAGGAAUAGAUCCAAA